CUGGUUUAGUCCUGGUUCAGUUCUGGUUUAGUCAUGGUUUAGUCUGGUUUAGUCUGGUUUAGUCCUGGUUUAGUCCUGAGUUAGUCCUGGUUUAGUCUGGUUUAGUCCUGGUUUAGUACUGGUUUAGUCAUGGUUUAUCCUAGUUUAGUCUGGUUUAGUCUGGUUUAGUCCUGGUUUAGUCCUGGUGUAGUCCUGGUUUAGUCCUGGUUUAGUCUGGUUUAGUCCUAGUUUAUCCUGGUUUAGUCCUGGUUCAGUCCUGGUUUAGUCCUGGUUUAGUCUGGUUUAGUCCUGGUUUAGUCCCGGUUUAGUCUGGUUUAUCCUGGUUUAGUCCUGGUGUAGUCCUGGUUUAGUCCUGGUUUAGUCUGGUUUAGUCUGGUUUAGUCCUGGUUUAGUCCUAGUUUAGUCUGGUUUA